AUCAUGGAGGCAAUUGAGCUGUACCGAGAAGAAACUGCAAAAAUGAAAGAACACAGAGCCAUUUGUAGAGCAGCGGGGAAAGAGGUUCCUCUUCCUGUCAACCCCAUCCUGAUGGCCCAUGGCAAUAUUUCUGUGAGUGGGAUGUCUGUUUCUCCUUGGUGUUUCAGGGGCUAACUUCAGAGAUGAGAGGGAGUGAGGAAGCACUGUGACUUGGGGAUACGUUCCCUGGGAAGGCCUUUGUUUCCAAAAGUCUGAGUGUCUUCUAAAACAGCUUGCUGCUGGUGAAACUUCCCAGGAUGCGUCUGGGUUAGACCAGCCUGCCUCUUCCACCUUUAGUGCUUCUGCAUGGUCGGCAUCCACAGCUCUCUGAAGACUUGUCUGCACAUGACCUCUGAUACAGAUCUUUGUAGGAACAAUCGACAAAACCCGUCAUGAAGAAGGGAAGAGAUGUAUCAGGAGAGCAUGUUUAUCUAGGAGUUGCUAGUUAUUGCACGUGUUUUCAUUGCAGCAAUCUCAGAAUAUCUUCAUUGUGUAGAUAUGAAACCGGCCCAACUUACAAGGAAGGGUAGUCAUAAAGGACAUAAGGACAUGGCUUAAUUAUAGCCCUAUGUGGCUAGCUGCAAGCCCACACAGCCCUGUCAUGUGGGAUGGACGCAGGCCCUGGAGGAAAGCCCUCAAGGGUGUCACUAAUGCUGCUGUCUUUCCUUUGUAGCCCUCAGCGUAUGUGUUAGAGACUUUUAAAGGGAUCAGGUCAAGUGAACUGGAAGAGGCCCUGCUUGUGCUGCCGUUCUCCUAUGUCCCAGACAUUCUUACGCUGUUCAAUGGGUUCAUCCAGACAGGAUCAGAUGUCGAGCUGUUGUGCCGGUGCCUCUUUUUUCUCCUCAGGAUUCACUUUGGCCAGAUCACCAGCAACCAGAUGCUUGUGCCCGUGAUAGAGAAGCUAAAAGAAACAACUAUUUCAAAAGUCAGAC
rnacentral:lncRNA from 1 species